rnacentral:rRNA from 1 species
UUUUGGACAAUGGGCGCAAGCCUGAUCCAGCCAUGCCGCGUGAGUGAAGAAGGCCUUCGGGUUGUAAAGCUCCUUCGGCGGGGACGAAACGGUUCGUGCUAAUACCACGGACUACUGACGGUACCCGCAGAAGAAGCACCGGCUAACUACGUGCCAGCAGCCGCGGUAAUACGUAGGGUGCAGGCGUUAAUCGGAAUUACUGGGCGUAAAGCGUGCGCAGGCGGUUUGUUAAGACAGGUGUGAAAUCCCCGGGCUUAACCUGGGAAUUGCGCUUGUAACUGGCAGACUGGAGUGUGGCAGAGGGGGGUGGAAUUCCAAGUGUGGCAGUGAAAUGCGUAGAUAUUUGGAGGAACACCGAUGGCGAAGGCAGCCCCCUGGGCUAACACUGACGCUCAUGCACGAAA